AUUCCACUGUAAAACUGAAGAAAAUACCUUUUUCUGAAGAACUAGAGAAGCGAGAGAGAAGGAAUCCAGUUGCUUGCUGUGCUGUGUAUUGAGAAUGAGGACAAAAAGGAGAUCAUGCCACACAGCUUCCAGAAGCCACGAUCAAAGAGGAUCAAGCCAACAAAACUAUCUGCCUUUACCCCUGGGUAACUUGAGAUACUCUCUGGCUAUACUUGGGGUGAGGGCCAAACUGCUUGAAGGCCUGUACCUGCAAUUAGUGUGUGUCUACACCUGGGAGAAGACAGCCUGAAAAACUGGAGGAAUAAAUAAAUGCCUUUUCACCUACAAACAA